AAUUACGGGAAAGACGAGAUGGAUAUAAAGUGAAAGUUAUACCAGCGGUGAGCGGCUGUUUAGGAGGGAUGAAAAGACUGAAAGAUGAUAUAAGAGAGUUGUUUAACAACGAGAAAGAUUUACGCUGGAUCAAGAGAGAAAUGCAAAAGGCUGUAUUAUGGGAAAGCGAGACAAUUAUAACAAAAAUAUUAUCUGGACUGUUGACAUGAGGUGUCUUCGGAUAAUAGCUGACAAACGUUGAUAGCUAUAUAAUUCGCCUUGAAGUAAGAAGGGCACUGGCCAAUGUUACAAUACGC
rnacentral:lncRNA from 1 species